GAUGAACGCUGGCGGCGUGCCUAAUACAUGCAAGUCGAGCGAAUGGAUUAAGAGCUUGCUCUUAUGAAGUUAGCGGCGGACGGGUGAGUAACACGUGGGUAACCUGCCCAUAAGACUGGGAUAACUCCGGGAAACCGGGGCUAAUACCGGAUAACAUUUUGAACCGCAUGGUUCGAAAUUGAAAGGCGGCUUCGGCUGUCACUUAUGGAUGGACCCGCGUCGCAUUAGCUAGUUGGUGAGGUAACGGCUCACCAAGGCAACGAUGCGUAGCCGACGUGGGAGGGUGAUCGGCCACACUGGGACUGAGACACGGCCCAGACUCCUACGGGAGGCAGCAGUAGUGAAUCUUCCGCAAUGGACGAAAGUCUGACGGAGCAACGCCGCGUGAGUGAUGAAGGCUUUCGGGUCGUAAAACUCUGUUGUUAGGGAAGAACAAGUGCUAGUUGAAUAAGCUGGCACCUUGACGGUACCUAUCCAGAAAGCCACGGCUAACUACGUGCCAGCCGCCGCAGUAA
rnacentral:rRNA from 1 species